rnacentral:rRNA from 1 species
GACGAACGCUGGCGGCGUGCCUAAUACAUGCAAGUUGAGCGCUGAAGGUUGGUACUUGUACCAACUGGAUGAGCAGCGAACGGGUGAGUAACGCGUGGGGAAUCUGCCUUUGAGCGGGGGACAACAUUUGGAAACGAAUGCUAAUACCGCAUAAAAACUUUAAACACAAGUUUUACGUUUGAAAGAUGCAAUUGCAUCACUCAAAGAUGAUCCCGCGUUGUAUUAGCUAGUUGGUGAGGUAAAGGCUCACCAAGGCGAUGAUACAUAGCCGACCUGUGAGGGUGAUCGGCCACAUUGGGACUGCGACACGGCCCAAACUCCUACGGGGGGCAGCAGUAGGGAAUCUUCGGCAAUGGACGAAAGUCUGACCGGGCAACGCCGCGUGAGUGAAGAAGGUUUUCGGAUCGUAAAACUCUGUUGGUAGAGAAGAACGUUGGUGGGAGUGGAAAGCUCAUCAAGUGACGGUAACUACCCAGAAAGGGACGGCUAACUACGUG